AUGGAUCUGACUCUCGCGCUGUCAGCUGUUAUCUUCACGCUUCUGGCUCUCGUCGUCGCGACGUCGCUGUUCAGCGGCUCUUCGCCCGCGGCCGAGUUCGCGAGUUAUUUCGGAGCUGCGGGAGACGGCGGUGCGACGGGGGGAUUAGAUCAACCGGGGCCGACGCGUAACGGGAAUCUGCCGGACGCCAAGAAGAAGAAGGAGGAGGAGAAGAAGGUGCAGCAGCAGCAGAAGGCGCAGGACGACUGGUGCGAGAUCAGCGGCAGCUCCCACGACCACUGGGAUGUGGUGAAAUCGGUGCUUUCAGAGGAGGCACAUCUCCGCCCUCACACUGGAGAGCUACCAACACCAGUUGAGUGCUCCUCCACAUCCAAUCCCUGCGUCCCCAGGCUCGGAUGUAGCCACAAAAGCUUAGAGGCCGACUCGUGGUCCGAUGCCUCGUCGGGGACGGGCCGUAGAUCCUUCAUCGGGCUCUCUGAUAAGGAGCUCCUAAAGUGUGCUUUCUCAUACCCUCAGAGUGAAGGAGCCACAGAGAGCCCGGAGAUCAACGAUGCAAACGAGUCUUUGAGGUACGCCCCUGGAAAGGCGCGAUCCCACCACCUGCAAAGGAUGAUGUCCAAAGAUGAGCUGGAGGAGGAGCGCAGGUCAGUGAUGAUCACCUUCCUGAUCAACCUUAUUAAAAUCGAGUCAUGCGGGAGAAAGAUUUUCUUUGCAACCUGGCAACCUAAGAGCUGUUCUUAUUAAUGAAAAAUAACAGAUCACGACUUAAGCAUUAUUCAACAAUAUAUUAAAUGAAGCAAUUAAAACGGUGCCUCAUGAAAAUGUGCCUAAAUAUGCAACAUUCAUUCAAUUCACUUUUAAUUAUCGGCUUUACAUCCCUCGCUGUCCUCCUAAAAUACUCCAAAAACAAAAAUAUUUCUGUUGUUGAAAAGAUUCUUUGCCAAAGUUUUACUAAAAAGUCAAAUGUCAAAAGUAGUUUACCUUUACCUUUCUUUCUUUCUUUCUGUCCCUGACCUGCACCCUCUGCCCCUCCCUCAAAUCCCCCCAACGUCAUCUUCACGUGCGUUUAUGGCUCUUUAUCGCACCCCCCCUGCAGGCCGAGUAAGGCCAGAUUUAGUCCCAGUCAGGCGUCGGCCGAGGGAUCGAUGACGCUAGAUUCAGAGAAACCACUCGAAGCGUUCGGUGGCUGCUGAGGGGAAAAAAUAUAGCAAACAGAUCAGCAGCCGCAGACACGUUUUAUUUUUUUUAAUGUAUCUGCAUGCCCUGCUCUUAUCAUUGCAGGACACACUCCAACACAGACUUUAACGGUCUGUGGGCCUGAAACAGGAGCAAUUAUGUGGUAAAGUAUGAGGUAUUCUAACCCGUCUAUCUCAGGCACUUUCUGGCCAUUGUACUCUAAAGCCAUGUAGCAGUCUCAAGUUCUUAGAGCUCAGGUGGCACAGCUUGCAUUGAUUGUGUCUCCAGUCGUCACCUCUGACAGGGGAGCGUGAGUUAAUCCUCUCAGGACUCUCCUCCGUUCUGCCACAAGGAGGACUCAGCGGAGAGCCAAACACUGAAAGGUCACGCUGACUCGCCAGUUGGCACACACAAACUAUUCAUUCCCACUGCAAUGGAGAGAGUUGACGAAAAAAUCUGCUUUGACAUGAGAAAGGCAUCUUAUUGUAUGACAGGUCAGGAGGACAGGCAGCUGGGACGAAAUGUGAUUUUAAAAUAGCAGCACUGAUUUAAUGUACUCACUGGCUGUGGGUAGACCAACCACACAACAACAUUAAAAAAAAAAAUACUUCUUCUUCAUUCUGCAUCACUGUAUUUGUUUCUCCACAUGUUCUUGUCAAGCUAGAUAUUGAUCUCUAAUAUUGGAAAAUUGGAGCCUUCAAAUAAGCCAAAUGGGUUUUUAUGUCCUCUUACUGCACUCUGAUGUUGUUUAUCUGUGGUAUGUUUUUUUAAAUUUUAGGAACCCUGCUAAUUAAUAUAAAAUAGUGCUGUCAAACAAUUUUUAUAUCCCGAUUAAUCACAUUUAUGUCAUAGUUAACUCAAAAUUAAUCACAAUUAAUCGUUAUCAAUAAAAGGUAAGCCUUCUUUGCUUUCAACCAGUUUCUCAAACAGACAAGCCUGUUGACAUUUUCAGACAACAGUGAAGCUCACUUAUUUUGCACAACAUGCCCAGACACAUAAAACAACCUUUCAGAAGGUACUGAUGUUGCCGGUGCUGCUAAGUACUUUUAAACGUUAUUUACGUCAUUUUUCUGUGUGCCCCUCCAUGUGUGGACCAUCAUUCCUGGGGACAAUCAUCCAUCCCAAAUUAACGUUGUUAACUGACAGCACUAAUAUAAAAUAAACACAUCAAAAAGGAGAAAUCUUGUCAUUGUUGCAGCACAAACACAAAAAUAGAUGUUGAUAAAUAAAGAGUAAAAUAAAAGAAACAACAGAAGGUAUAUACAACUCAAAUAGAUGUCAGAGGAACGGCACCAACAGAGUUCCUCAAGGUGCACCGGUGUUUUGGUGUUGGGGAUCAGGAACUCUGAGACUGUGUUUUUUGUUAAUCCGCAGCCUGACGCUCCUUAAAUGUAAAUAAGAGCCACUGAAGGACUAAUCCAAUAUAACAAAAUACGUAGUUACAUAGUUACAUCUGUAACAUUAUAUUUUAUUAUAUGAUCACACGUUUUGUUUGUGUAAAGCUCCAACAAUUAGUUGAUGCAUUGAUAAAUGAAUUUCUUUCCAGUUUCCUUACUUGUCUUUAUUAGUAAAAUUUGGGGUUUUAGGUUGGGAAUUCUUCAAAGUAUGACAUUUGAAGACGUCACAUUAGAGCUUGCCAUAUGCUCUCAUUUGUUGGCAAAAGAUUAUUCUAUCAAUCUGGAAAUUAAUCAGAAGAUUAUUGAAUAAUAAAAUAAUGGAAGUUUAGCUUCGACAAUAGAUGUUGGGGUCUGUCUUCUGUUGUAAAGCCCUGACUUCACUUUGUCUCCCUGGAUGAUAACUGCCGCAGAGGCCUCCUGUUGGGCCGAUAAUUCAUCAACCGCUAUUUCUCAAAAGAGGAGAAAUCAGAGAAUAUUAUCAAGACAUUGACAAUAGGGACCAGUAAAAAGUGGAACUGGAUAUCUUAAGUGAUCAACUUAAAGAGGAAUGCCAAAUACAAUACCAUGAGGUCCGAGGUAAGACAGCAACGCACGAAAGAUGAUUUGUGGUUGAGAGUCAUAAAUACAAUCUACAUUACAUAACAUUAUAUGUCAUUUAGCCAACGUUUUUAUCCAAAGCGACUUUCAAUAAGUGUGUUAAAGUGUGUAAAUUAUGGUUGAAGUGCACAGGGUUCAAACCCAGAAGAACAGGAAACAAGAAAGUGCAAUUUCAUCAAUUUACAACUUGCCAUAGAUAAGCAAUUAUAUUAUCCAAGUACAAGUCAAGUGCUACAAUCUAAGAUAAAGAAUACAUACAGACAUGUUAUCUCUUGUUUUCACUUAAUAAAUAACUUAUUUGUCCUGAGACUGUUACCAGGUAAAUAAAUACUCUUAUUUGCGUUCUAGGAGUAAAGUAUGAUAUCUAAAAUCAGUGUCUCAAAUACGGAGCUGGUUAGUUAGCUUGGUUAAAACUGAAGAGUAGAAAUUACUUCUUGUGAUUUGGCUAGCGCUUAUGUGCUAUAGACUGUUUAGUGACUGGGAGCAGUGACCUCCGUUGCCAUUUCACGUUUAGAUGUGUGUUUUUUUUUUAUGAUCGUUGGAGUGUUGAUAAAGAACUAUGACGUAUAACAACUUUACAACAUGAGUUAUUAGGGAAACUGUCCUGACAUGACAUUUGUUGCCCCAGAACCUCCGUGUGUCUCUGUGUGAGUGCUAAAGUAAUAUUAACUAAAGAUUAGCUAUGAUAUUAACAAAUAUCCUACACGAUGAGGCUAUGUGUGAAUUUUCCUAAUCAAAUUUACAUUUGU
ensembl:lncRNA